rnacentral:rRNA from 1 species
ACGGAAGGCAGCAGCUAAGAAUAUUCCGCAAUGGACGGAAGUCUGACGGAGCGACGCCGCGUGGAUGAUGAAGGUCGAAAGAUUGUAAAAUCCUUUUAGGAGUGAAGAAUAAGAGGUGCAGGGAAUGGCAUCACGGCGACGGUAGCUCCUGAAUAAGCAACGGCUAAUUACGUGCCAGCAGCCGCGGUAACACGUAAGUUGCGAGCGUUGUUCGGAAUUAUUGGGCGUAAAGGGUAUGUAGGCGGUCGUGCAAGCUUGGUGUGAAAGGCAGGGGCUCAACCCCUGGACUGCAUUGAGAACUGCAAGACUUGAAUUGCUGAAGGGCAGCCGGAAUUCCAGGUGUAGGGGUGAAAUCUGUAGAUAUCUGGAAGAACACCAAUGGCGAAGGCAGGCUGCUGGCAGAUGAUUGACGCUGAGGUACGAAAGUGCGGGGAGCAAACAGGAUUAGAUACCCUGGUA